UACGUAGGGUGCAAGCGUUAAUCGGAAUUACUGGGCGUAAAGCGUGCGCAGGCGGUUUGGUAAGACAGAUGUGAAAUCCCCGGGCUUAACCUGGGAAUUGCAUUUGUGACUGCCCGGCUAGAGUGUGUCAGAGGGGGGUAGAAUUCCACGUGUAGCAGUGAAAUGCGUAGAUAUGUGGAGGAAUACCGAUGGCGAAGGCAGCCCCCUGGGAUAACACUGACGCUCAUGACACGAA
rnacentral:rRNA from 1 species